rfam:Camelus ferus unplaced genomic scaffold scaffold2128, whole genome shotgun sequence.
GAGGGUAUAGCUCAAGCAGCAGAGUGCAUGCUUAGCAUGCACGAGGUCCUGGGUUCGAACUCCAGUACCUCCU